GGGCGCGCGCGCGCGGGCGCGGAAUCCCCGGAAGGAGGCGCUGCCCGCCUGCCUGUGACGUUGAAAGCCAUCCCUAUGAAAACAUUUAGGCAUUAGUGCGUUAGGUCUGUAAAAUGCUCCUAAAAUGCUCUGUACGUUUCAAAACUGCUGAAAAGUCUCGUAAUGCUCAGUCCGGCCAACGUCUUGCCAGCCUGGAGGGCUUGUUCUCAUUUUCUGAUGCAGCGGAAAGCCCGAAGAAUUCACUUCGCAGCCAGUGAAUGGGCUUGAGUCCAAAUCUACCCGAACGCAGACUAUGGACUCGAGUAGUAGGAAGGCAGUCUGGCUGCUGUGGCAUCUGUGGUCCUGCAGCCGAGGUACCGCAAGAGCCGCCCCAGCGAGGUCCUCAUUUCUCUGCAGACGGGCGAGCACCUGAAGGGAAAGCCUGUUUCAACCCGAGGGGACACACAUGCCGCUCUGUCCGAGCACGGUUGUCAGCCUUCCGUGCGAUGCUGUCGGGAAGCCGCUGGAGACUCACGUGAGGUGUCUGAUCUGCUGCGACCUGCACGGGGGAGCCGGUUUAUUCCCGUCGCAGUUUCCCCCAAGCAGAGCAUCUGCGACAAGUCCUUUCUCUCGCCGAAUUCUUCUGGCCAUGCAUCCUGUUCAUGAUUCUGACAGUACUUCGUUUUCAAGAACCUCCCAGAGAAAGAGACAAUUGUUAUUUGCAGCCCCGGGACCUGCCCAGUCAGGGUGUGUUCCCCUUUGUCCGAGGCCUUCUUUGCAACACCGGAUCCAGGUGCAGGAACACAAGCUAUGAAAGGUCCAUGGAACACCAUUUUCGGGCGUCCACCCCGACCGACCCCCAGGGAUGAGGCUCGUCUGUGGACCCGUCCUGUGUCCUCUGUGUUCAGGGACAGGGCCUGCUCGGCUCCCUGAUGUCUCGACGCCCUUGCUCAGGGCUCUAUAAUCUGUGUUGAAUGAAUGAAGAAAAUGACAUGAUUAAUAAACAUCCCAGAGAGUUGGCCUUGCAGUUCGUCUAGGCUCCGAAGUGCAGCUGCCCCGCACAGGAAGGUGGAUGACCUGGCCUUCUUAAAAGAGAUGCAGGACCUUGCCAAGGAAGUUUACGAAGUAAUGGACGAGGCGAGAAACCUGCAGAAACUUUGGGUGGAACGAUCCCAGACUCCAGGCAAGUGAAGCUCUCAAGCCCUCAGACCCACCUGGACACGGGCUUGGCCCUGGGGGCGGGAGAACCCAGAAUGUCUUUAUUUGUUGUUGUCCUUUUCUGUUUAGGGCUGCACCUGCGGCAUAUGGACGUGCCUAGGCCAGGGGCUGAAUCGGUGGCCUCUACCACAGCCACAGCAACUCCGGAUCCUUAACCCACUGAGCGAGGCCAGGGAUGGAACCCACUUCCUCAUGGAUGCUUGCUGGAUUCUUAGUCCCCUAAGCCACAGUGGGAACUCCCCCAGAGUGUCUUUAAAAUUCUGUGUACAUUUUAUAUCCCUUCAGCAGUGGUCACUGUGGAUCUCAGAAAAAGACGCCUUCCGCAGAUGAGGCCGGCACCUGGGGGGUUAUGGAGGGUGGCGCUGGAUCUUCACUGCUGCUCCUUGAGGGUACCUGGGCAUGGCCCUCAGAGCGGCUGCAGCUGGCCCAAGGAACCCUCUUUCCACCGUCCCUCCUCUGGCUUGAAUUUCUAACUUCCUUUCUCUCUCCCUCUUCCUCUGUCUUUAAAGUCUGUCCCCCGCCCCCACCCCCUGCUCCCGUCCUUCUCCUGGUAGACUCGAGUAGGUGUUUCUUUGUCGGUGACACUUUGACUCUUGUCUGGAUGAUGCGCUUUGGCUGUGAUGACACACCUUUCGAUUCGGGUGAUCGGGCUGCAUUGUUUCUGCCCAUUAUGAAGCGUGUCCACAUCCUAGGCUUAUCUCUUCCUUAUUAAUCUCCAUUCAAGAAGGUUCGAUGGAGGUAGGUCUUGGUGAGCUUGGUUGACAAGAGAAGCGUGGACCUCAGAGAGGUCCUGUCGUCACAUAUACCCAGGUUGUUGCCUGAAAACAUCAUCAGUAAACUCGGGCCACAGCCAUCCUGCCCUUUUAAAAAACAGUGCCCUAUCUCUGACAGCCAGAGGAAAUAUAGGACAUUCAGCUAAAUAUGAAUUUCAGGUAAAUAACUUUUUUUUUUUUUUUACUGUAAGUAUAGUCCAGAUCCUUAGAGCAGAAAAUAUUCAUUGUCUGUCUGAAGUUCAGAUUUAAACGGGUAUCUUACGUUUUCAUUUGCUAAUCAAGCAACCCUAAGUACGCACCUCAGAUUUAUAUAUGUGUACAUACACAUAUACAUAAAUACAUGUAUAACACACAUAUUUUUUUCUCUUCAUGGAAUAUAGACAAGGAAAUGGAAUGAGGAGUCUGGCAGAAAACUGCAGAAAGAGCUCUUCAGAGGAGCUGGUAUUAUGUGUUAUUUUUCUAAGAGAGAAAACAGCACCUUGGUUGAGGGCGGGGCCGAUCACAAUGGACCCCAAGGCAUCAGCAAAAGCCCCGGUCGCUUUAAGGCCAAACGAUGGAGUCUGCUGUUAGGUGCUGUGAGGGCAUCAACCUGCUUUUAUUUAUAUCAUUUGGUUUUCAAAUGAGGCUUUCAGCAUUCUCUUGGAGAGCUAAUUCUUUCGGUGGGGGUGGGGGGGCUGAAGUGUUUCUCGAGUUUUCGUUGGCUCCAUCUGAGCCCCCCCUGGUUGAAUGUAUGAAAGAAAACCUCUUCAUCUACCCAACACUUCUGACCCCACACGUGUGAGUUUUCCACACCAAGCAAUUUUCCAGUUCUCUGUGGGCACCCACUGGGUGUCCUAUAAUUGAAUUCAGUUCUGACCCCUCUGGACCCCACAGUGCGAGGCUCAGCCCCUCAGGACUGCUCUCACUGCAGAGGCCAAUUGCAAGAAGGGGCCCCCUGGAUCCCCGCAUUUCUGUCCGACUUGGCUGUAAGUUGGGAUGGUCACAGCCCCUCCGCAGGUCCCGUGAUUCUCUGGGACAGCUCAGGGAGCUCAGGGGGGCACCCUGCUUGCCGUUACCAGUUUCUUAUAAGGGAUUUAGACAAACUGAGAUGAGGCAUUGUCCCUAUGCGAUGAGAGCCUCAGCCUCCAGGCCUGUGGAUUUGGGUACCAACUAGAAACUCCUUGCACCCCAUCAUGUCGUGUUUUUCUGGGGGUUCCGUCAGGCGCGCAUGAUUGAUCGCGUCCUUGCCCUUGUGCUCAACUCCAUCUCCAGCCCCUCCGUCCUCUCUGAAGGUCAGGGUGGGGGUGGGGACGAAAGUUCCACCUCUCUAAGUAUUGCUGACGUGGGUCCGUGGACUCUUUCAUCAGUAGAAAUUCGGGCAAGGCUUCGUGGGGGCUCAUGGGCACGGGGGAGCAAAAACAGAUAUCAGUACCCUUGCUCGCUCCUUGAUGGGGCUGGGGGGCUGCUGGUUCUCUAAGUGGGGUGGGGGUGGAUCUGUGGGUUGGGCGGGAGGGCUGGCUUAGGCGGUGCGCCCACCCCUUGGUGGUGCUGUGUUCAAGGGUCGUGCCUAGGACCCUGCUUUUAUUUCUGGCACCUUGGUUGUUGUCCUUCUGUAUCUUACUGCUCUUACCUGGCCCAGCUGUGCACCUGUGCAGUCAUUUUCAGUCCUUUGUACUUUUUUUGUGUUCUGUGGCUCAAGGAAGCAUUUGUCAGGGGUGAGCCCUGCAGCAGAGUCCAGGGGCCCAUCUUGUGUUAUAAUUAUGCCUUGGCUUCUUCCUUCCUUCCCUCCCUCUUUUCUCUCUCUCUCUCCCUCCCUCCUUCCCUUCCUUCCCUACCUUCAUUCUUCCCUUCCUCCCUCCCUCCCUUCUUUUCAUUUUGCUUUUUAGGGCUGCACCCGCAGCAUAAGGAGGUUCCCAGUCUAGGGAUCUAAUCAGAGCUGCACCUGCCAGCCUACACCACAGUCACAGCAAUGCAGGAUCCGAGCCAUGUCUGUGACCUACACCACAGCUCACGGUAACGCCAGAUCCUUAACCCACUGAGUGAGGCCAGGGAUGGAACCUGCAUCCUCAUGGGUACUCGUUGGGUUGGUAACCCACUCAGCCGCAGCGGGACCUCCUGCCUUGGCCUUUCUGGUGAUCA
rnacentral:lncRNA from 9 species